UGUAGGGGUGAGUAUUUUAAAUAUAGAAACACUAUAGACUUCAGAAUUGGAAGAUAAUAAAGAAAGGAAAUUUUCUGUUAUUGAAUUCGAUUUAAUUCAAUUAGGUAGUUGAUAGGGUAAAGGCCUACCAAGCCAACGAUCGAUAGCCAAGUUUGAAAGAACAAAUGGCCACAUUGGGAAUGAGAUAUCCCAAGUAGAGAACUCUACCAGCAGUCGAGAAUAUUAGUCAAUGCUCGCAAGAGUGAACUAGCUAACUGGAAUCAUGAGUGUGUCACUUGUGAUAAGUUUGGGAAAAAUAAUGAUAUUACCCAUUAUCUUAUAGUGUUGUCCAAAGCUGGUGCCAGAAGACUCGGUAAUGCCAGAGACGCAAGCGUUAAUCAUCUUGAAAAGGCGUAAAGGGUUUGUAGGCAGCUUUAAAAAAAUAAUUAAAGAUAGAAUCAAAUAGAGGUCACUGUGAGAGAACUCCUAGAUUAGGGUUGAUAUCUGUAUAAACUAGGAGGAAUUCUAAUUAGCGAAGGCACUUUUCCAUCUAAUGAUUGACGCUGAUAAACGAAGGGGAGGAUCGACAAUAGGAUUAGAUACCCUGGCAUCCCUCUCUGUAAACGAUGAAUGGUAGUUGCUAGUAAUAAUAAUUAGUGACGAUGCUAACGCGUUAACCAUUCCGCCUUGUGAUUCCGACUGCA
rnacentral:rRNA from 1 species